CCUACGGGAGGCUGCAGUGAGGAAUAUUGGUCAAUGGGCGAGAGCCUGAACCAGCCAAGUAGCGUGAAGGAUGACGGCCCUACGGGUUGUAAACUUCUUUUGUCAGGGAGCAAUUGGGUCCACGUGUGGGCUUAGCGAGAGUACCUGAAGAAAAAGCACCGGCUAACUCGGUGCCAGCAGCCGCGGUAAUACGGAGGAUGCGAGCGUUAACCGGAUUUUUUGGGUUUAAGGGGUGCGUAGGCGGACUAUAAAGUGAGCGGUAAAAAUUCGGGGCUCACCCCCGUCGUUCCGUUGAAACUGAUGUUCUUGAGUGGGCGAGAGGUAUGCGGAAGGCGUGGUGUGGCGGUGAAGUGCA
rnacentral:rRNA from 1 species